CAUUAUUGAAAUAAACCUGAUGGGUCGCUGCUGGCUCUCUAGGGAGCAUGUGCACACCUGUCAUCUUUAUAUCUCCACCUGUGCACCUUUUGUAGAUCUGGAUAUCUUUCUGAAUGCCUGGCAUUCAGGUUUGAGGAUUGACUUUUGUCUUUCCUUACAUUUCCAGGCCUAUGUUUUCUUCAUAUACACCAUUUAUGUUAUAGAAUGUAAUGAAAAGGGCCUUUGUGCCUACAAACCUUAUACAACUUUCAGCAACGGAUCUCUUGGCUCUCGCAUCGAUGAAGAACGCAGCGAAAUGCGAUAAGUAAUGUGAAUUGCAGAAUUCAGUGAAUCAUCGAAUCUUUGAACGCACCUUGCGCUCCUUGGUAUUCCGAGGAGCAUGCCUGUUUGAGUGUCAUUAAUAUAUCAACCUCCUCAGGUUUUGACUUGUCGAGUGUUUGGAUGUGGGGGUCUUUUGCUGGUCUCUUUUGAGGUCGGCUCCCCUAAAAUGCAUUAGCGGAACAAUUUGUUGACCCGUUCAUUGGUGUGAUAACUAUCUACGCUUUUGACGUGAAACAGGUUCAGCUUCUAACAGUCCAUUGACUUGGACAAAUUUUCAUUAAUGUG
rnacentral:rRNA from 1 species